rnacentral:lncRNA from 1 species
UGAAUAACUGAAAGAUAUGUAACCCCCGGGGACAGCAAAGUUGAUGAGACCAAAGUCCAAUUGUAUUUUGAGUGUAAGAAAAUUGGAAAUUAGAGAUUUCAACAUUUAUUUUUUGUUUUUUUUUAAAGAAAGUGUUUAUUGGGUAUCAACUGAGUGGAAAUUAUUGGUAGCACUCGUUGUGUAUAAAUAAGAAUUAAACGUUUUACAGCAUGGGGAAGCUUUAUUGAUCAUUACUACUGAUGUAGCCCAUCGUUUAGAAGUCGAAUUGAAGACGAGACGACAACCACUCGAUCGGUAAGCCAUUGCGAAUUUUCUUCUCUUAGCUUGUUUUCCUUUCGUCGGAAUUUUUUUUAAUUAUUAGCCUCCCUAGAUACACUAGUGUCCAUAACAAUUAAUUUGGGCGUGUUAUAAAAAAAGUUAAUAUAUGAGAUUUUAGUGUUAAUAAAUCGGUUAUGAGACGU